GUUUUGACCACACUGCUUUCUGGCUUCCUGACUUCGACUCGUCUUUCGGUACGCUUGACUUUCUGGAACCCUGACAUCGGCUUGCUUCCUCGGCCUGCUCUUAGACUGCUUCUCCACAAGAAAAUCAUCCACCCAGAUGCAUUUGCCAUAGCAAAAUCCUGCCCUUGGAACUGAAUCACAGACAUUUAAAUUUAAUUUCUGCUGAUUUAAUUUCUGCUGCUUAUGAAGGAAGACAGAGACAGAGAGAUUUGAGUGAGGAGUUAGAGACAUUUUGGAUCAAGAAGGAUUCCAGAGGAAUUGUUGCUGGAGAAUCAGUAACUGUACAAAUAGUGCUGACAAAGUUUUAGUGAGCAUGGCUUGUAAUGUUGUGAUUGUGGCAUGUGUCUCUGUGUUCUUGAAGUAAAAUGAUCAGGGUAUU